CCUGCCUGCCUCCUGCAGCAGGGGAGGCUGCGAGCCGCCGCCGCGCCGGGCCACGGCAGGUGGGCGAACCGGGGUGCUGCCACGGGGUCUUCAACGUGGUUGGCACUGCCACAGCUACCUUCCUGCAUGCGGCUCAGUGCAACGUCAGAAAUAAUUGGUUCUGGCCAAUAACAAAUCAUCUCGUUUUCAUUGGCUUGUAUCUCGGGCAACACGAGACACAUUCUGUAAUGGCUCAAAAUAUCCCUUCUGGAUAAUCACACAGUGGGAUGGAAGAUGGACCCUGGAGGAGGGCAGAGCGUGGAGGAGCCUGGCGGCAGGCAGCCCGGCCAGGGGGCCCCCUCGGGUGCCGUGCAGCAGCUGGUGUUGUGAAUCAGGCCGUCACCAGUCGGAGAACGGCUACUUCACAACACCAGGGUCGCACCGCACCACGGUUCGACCACGUGCCGGAGAGGAGCGGAGCUUCCCGUGGGUAGGCAGGAGACAUGGAGCACCUCCUGGCUGCCCCCACCUCAGCCCAGACCUGCAAAGGUAAUCAGGUGCUCAACUCCUAUUUAGGCACCAGCCUCCCACUGAAGUCUGAAAUAGAAGUUAGGCCCCUAAAUAUCUCUGUGGGUCUGGCCCCGAGGCCCUGCCUUGCUGUGCAGUGCAGAGCAGUGCUCCGGCAGGCACAGGGCAGUGCUGCCAACCAUGUGGUCACUGCCUGUUUGCAUGCCAUGUGAAUGUUAAGGAACAGGUAACUUUUAUUAAGCUAGGGAAAACAGUAAAAAAAAAAAAAAAAGCCUCUGCAUGCUCCACGUGUAGUUCUCCCUGACAGUUGUGUCUGUGGGUCUUGCCUGUGACUAGUCCUGAUCCCUUCCCUAUCUAGAUGCGUAGGUAUGUUAUCUGCAUAAGAUGCUGUAUAUACAAGGAAAGAAGCCAGACUCCUUGGAAAUGACACUAAUAUUGUCCUAGGUGUGUUGUAAUGAAUGAAAAAGCACCAAAAAUAAGCAGUGGUGCUGUUCAGAAGUGGUACCAACAGCUGCUGUCCUUAAAAUGAGAAAAAAGUUUGAUUUUGCAUUGCUUAAGUGACCUCUUACAAAUUAUUAGGCGUAGAAGGACAGCAAAGCACACUCAAACCCACCCUGUCCAAAGUGGCCCUGUAAUAUGUGCCAUGUGUUUCAGGUCUGAAAUGCAAGCUCUUCCCUGCUUCCUCCCUCAUACUCUAAUGCAAGUGCAAUGUUAGUUUGAGGGGAGUGGGUUACAGCAGAGUACUUUCCACCCAAAACCAGGUCAUGUUCGUGGAGGUCAGCACAAAGCUGAUGGCCGUAUACAAUCCCAUAAGUCAAACUGAAAUGCUGUUCGGUUUUGAUCUCUGCAAGCAGCCAUCUGCUCUUGGACUCAGGAUGGUGUUUCCUCUGGUGGGUUUUCCCAACUCUGGUGAAAUCCCUUGUUCCCACCCUGCAAGAAAGACUGGCUAUAUGCUUUUAGGUGUUAGCUGGCUGUUUUCUUGUGUGACACAAAACACUGGAUAUGUCUAAAGCAGAAUGGAGAAAUGCAGAGAGCAAACAAUCAAGGUAACAGAACUGAUAAGGGAAUUUUUUAGAAAGUUUUCUUCGUUAUCCUAACUAAUGUGAUUGAAGCUGGUAGUAAAAAUUACUUAAAUCCCAUUGUGGAUGUGUGACUGCUGACAGGGAGGUAGACAUAGGGAAGGGUUAGGAUAUACAGAAGACCAGAAAUAAGAUGGGACAGCUGGAAUUGCACAUUAAAAGAGACAAAGGUGGUUACAUUAGACCCAUCCUAAUCUUUCUGUUCAGGUGUGCUUCCUACAGAAGUAACCCUGAAUUUCUGUCAUAGCAAAAAGUCUGCAACCAACACCACAAACAACAGAAGAGAUACAUGGGAGGCUCCCUUAUACAUUAGGAGAGGGCAACCUGUUGAUGCAGGUUUGCACUGUUUUUUUUUUCAUUGAUCAGAGGAAAAGCAAGACCGUGCUUCUAGUUCAGGCACUAUGGCAAGGUGGAGUAUGAAUUUGUCAAUCCGACAUGCAAGAAGUCUGUUUUAUUAAACUUGUUCUCUGUUAAUGCAAACCGUGUGCUCUGUGUGGUAGUCUCAUUGUUCAUUAUAAACUUGUUUUAAAGCUUGA